rnacentral:rRNA from 1 species
CCUACGGGUGGCAGCAGUGAGGAAUAUUGGUCAAUGGACGCAAGUCUGAACCAGCCAUGCCGCGUGCAGGAAGACGGCUCUAUGAGUUGUAAACUGCUUUUGUACGAGGGUAAACGCAGAUACUCGUAUCUGUCUGCAAGUAUCGUACGAAUAAGGAUCGGCUAACUCCGUUCCAGCAGCCGCGGUAAUACGGAGGAUUCAAGCGUUAUCCGGAUUUAUUUUGUUGAAAGGGUGCGUAGGCGGUCGGAUAAGUUAGAGGUGAAAUCCCGAGGCUCAACUUCGGAAUUGCCUCUGAUACUGUUCGGCUAGAGAGUAGUUGAGGUAGGCGGAAUGUAUGGUGUAGCGGUGAAAUGCUUAGAGAUCAUACAGAACACCGAUUGCGAAGGCAGCUUACCAAGCUACUUCUGACGUUGAGGCACGAAAGCGUGGGGAGCAAACAGGAUUAGAUACCCUUGUAGUC